UUAUUCAGAAGUAUUCGAACGUUAGAGUUAUUCAAUUUUAAAAUGCCCACAUUAAAAUUUUUUGUCUCAUUAUUUUUGAGCUGUGUUUUUGUUUUUGUUCAGAUAAGUCCUGGACUAGGACUAGGACUAGGAAAUAUGUGUUUUGACUGCAGCAAAUGGUUAUCAAACUGUCAGAUUGAAAAAGGGCUAUUAGUUGCUUUCGCAGAGGAAGAUAACAGUAUUUUAGUUGACGCUGGACCUGAUGAGUCACCAGACUCCGCCUUGGAGAACUGUCUACUCCCCGGAAAAAAAAUAACAGGCGGCCUUGUAUCAGUUGUUUGUUCCGCUGCCAAAUCUGGCUCCUGUGGUGUAAUAGGUAAUAAACAAUUGGAGUCGUGGCAUAAAAUUUAUUGCAGUCUAUGUGCAAAAAAGUGUGGUUGCACGUUUUCAGCUGCUCCUCCAAUUAGUAAAGGAAGCGGUAAAUUGAUAUUAUUCUUGGGCGUAUUUCACAUUAUGUUAUAU